GUGCCAGCAGCCGCGGUAAUACGUAGGGGGCGAGCGUUGUCCGAAGUUACUGGGCGUAAAGCGCGCGUAGGCGGGCGCUUAAGUCUGGCGUGAAAGGUUCAGGGCUCAACCCGAACAGUGCGCUGGAUACUGGGUGCCUUGAGUGCGGGAGAGGGGGGUGGAAUUCCUGGUGUAGCGGUGAAAUGCGUAGAUAUCAGGAGGAACACCGAUGGCGAAGGCAGCCCCCUGGCCCGCAACUGACGCUGAGGUGCGAAAGCGUGGGGAGCGAACGGGAUUAGAUACCCCGGUAGUCCCAGCAGUAAACGAUGGACACUAGGUGUCGGGGGUGUUGACCCCUCCGGUGCCCAAGCUAACGCAUUAAGUGUCCCGCCUGGGGAGUACGGCCGCAAGGCUAAA
rnacentral:rRNA from 1 species